CUUUGCGAUUGUCCCCGGGGUGGCCACUUAACAUAGGUUUCGUCAUAAAUUGACCCCCCCCCCAUCCCUCAGGUCAGCACUGGCAGCCCCCACUGCUGGAUGCCAGCCCUCCCCUCCCCACUGCAGCUCCGAGCGAGCCUGCCCUCCCCUGCCAAGGAGAAAACACUUACCCAGAGGGUGCGGGGCGGCGGAUGCUAAGCCCCGACUCCUGCCCCUAGCCGCACGCUGGGAGCAGGCUGGCUGCCCAUCCACCAGCCGCUACCCCUGGGCAGGAGGUGCCCCGUUCACGGAAAGGGGGUGGGGGGGUGGCUGGGAUUUUUUUGGUUCAGGGUCCAGCCCCCCCGCCCCCGGGGCGUGCGGGGAGCGCGAUACAAUUUGUAGAGGAAAAAAAAAUCUCAAAGCCUCGGCCAAGCCCUAAGCGAUGCUGGCUGCGGUGUCCGCUCCACACCCUGCUGCUCAGCCAGACAGUCCCUCGGUCUUCCUCUCCUCUCCUCUCCUCUCCUUCUCCUUCUUCUCCUCCUUCUCCGUUGCUGCUGCCGCCGUCUUCCCUCCUCCUCCGCCGGGCUUUGUGCUGCCUGCAGCCAGCGUGCACCUGGUGUAAGCAAAGCAGACUGGUAGGAUUUUCAGAACUCCUGAAAUGAAUGCUUCCUGAAAGAAAUAUGCUUCCCUGGGGGACCAGACAGCUUUCAGUCCUGCUUCUGUGAAGGUGAGAGAGCUCCAUUUUCAUUUACUAUUUAUGAGAUGCGCAUUCAUAUUAUUGAGUGACCAUGGGCUUCUGUGCUCUUAAGAACCCGCAAAUGAGAAUAAGCUCAUUAUUUUUUAAUGUAAAGAGCAUGAUUGUAAACUUUGCAAGAGGAUGUACAACCUCAGAAAUCUUUACAUGGCUUUACUAUAGGAUAUAUAUUGAUGCUGUUCCCUUAAGAAGCUAGUAAGUUAUACGUAGUAUUUACCAGACACUCUGCAUAUUGAGGUAGUAGUUAUUGGGAAUAACAUUGAGCAGUUUUUUAUUGUAAGGCAUGACUCAGAGAAAAUGUGCCUGCUCUUUGGGUGAAUUUUACUGUCGUGUGCUUAGGUAAAUGCAGGAUCCCAUUUACAAAAUAAAGCUUCUGCUUAAUAAGGACA
rnacentral:lncRNA from 1 species